rnacentral:rRNA from 1 species
GACGAACGCUGGCGGCGUGCUAUACAUGCAAGUAGAACGCUGAAGGAGGAGCUUGCUCUCUGGAUGAGUUGCGAACGGUGAGUAACGCGUAGGUAACCUGCCUGGUAGCGGGGGAUAACUAUUGGAAACGAUAGCUAAUACCGCAUAAGAGUAGAUGUUGCAUGACAUUUGCUUAAAAGGUGCAAUUGCAUCACUACCAGAUGGACCUGCGUUGUAUUAGCUAGUUGGUGAGGUAACGGCUCACCAAGGCGACGAUACAUAGCCGACCUGAGAGGGUGAUCGGCCACACUGGGACUGAGACACGGCCCAGACUCCUACGGGAGGCAGCAGUAGGGAAUCUUCGGCAAUGGACGGAAGUCUGACCGAGCAACGCCGCGUGAGUGAAGAAGGUUUUCGGAUCGUAAAGCUCUGUUGUAAGAGAAGAACGAGUGUGAGAGUGGAAAGUUCACACUGUGACGGUAUCUUACCAGAAAGGGACGGCUAACUACGUGCCAGCAGCCGCGGUAAUACGUAGGUCCCGAGCGUUGUCCGGAUUUAUUGGGGCGUAAAGCGAGCGCAGGCGGUUAGAUAAGUCUGAAGUUAAAAGGCUGUGGGCUUAACCAUAGUACGCUUUGGAAACUGUUAACUUGAGUGCAAGAGGGGAGAGUGGAAUCCCAUGUGUAGCGGUGAAAUGCGUAGAUAUAUGGAGGGACACCGUGGGCGAAAGCGGCUCUCUGGCUUGUAACUGACGGCUGAGGCUCGAAAGCGUGGGGAGCAAACAGGAUAGGAUACCCUGGUAGUCCAAUGGCGAAUUCCACAGUGGGUGUCAGGCUUAUCGAUACCGUCGACCUCGAGGAGAGAAACAGAAACAGAGGUUGUGGUCCCGUUAGUA